ensembl:snRNA U2 U2 spliceosomal RNA
AUCGCUUCUCGGUCUUUUGGCUAAGAUCAAGUGCAGCAUCUGUUCUUAUCAGUUUAAUAUGUGAUACGUUCUCUAUCUGAGGACAACAUAGUAAAUGUAUUUUGCAAGUAGGAGUUGGCCUAGGAGCUUGCUUCCAUCCGCUCCACGCAUCAACCUGGUAUUGUGGUACCUUUAGGAAUGGGGCAGCCUCU